CAGGCUUAACACAUGCAAGUCGAGGGGCAGCAUGGUCUUAGCUUGCUAAGGCCGAUGGCGACCGGCGCACGGGUGAGUAACACGUAUCCAACCUACCGUCUACUCUUGGACAGCCUUCUGAAAGGAAGAUUAAUACAAGAUGGCAUCAUGAGUCCGCAUGUUCACAUGAUUAAAGGUAUUCCGGUAGACGAUGGGGAUGCGUUCCAUUAGAUAGUAGGCGGGGUAACGGCCCACCUAGUCUUCGAUGGAUAGGGGUUCUGAGAGGAAGGUCCCCCACAUUGGAACUGAGACACGGUCCAAACUCCUACGGGAGGCAGCAGUGAGGAAUAUUGGUCAAUGGGCGAGAGCCUGAACCAGCCAAGUAGCGUGAAGGAUGACUGCCCUAUGGGUUGUAAACUUCUUUUAUAAAGGAAUAAAGUCGGGUAUGGAUACCCGUUUGCAUGUACUUUAUGAAUAAGGAUCGGCUAACUCCGUGCCAGCAGCCGCGGUAAUACGGAGGAUCCGAGCGUUAUCCGGAUUUAUUGGGUUUAAAGGGAGCGUAGAUGGAUGUUUAAGUCAGUUGUGAAAGUUUGCGGCUCAACCGUAAAAUUGCAGUUGAUACUGGAUAUCUUGAGUGCAGUUGAGGCAGGCGGAAUUCGUGGUGUAGCGGUGAAAUGCUUUAGAUAUCACGAAGAACUCCGAUUGCGAAGGCAGCCUGCUAAGCUGCAACUGACAUUGAGGCUCGAAAGUGUGGGUAUCAAACAGGAUUAGAUACCCUGGUAGUCCACACGGUAAACGAUGAAUACUCGCUGUUUGCGAUAUACUGCAAGCGGCCAAGCGAAAGCGUUAAGUAUUCCACCUGGGGAGUACGCCGGCAACGGUGAAACUCAAAGGAAUUGACGGGGGCCCGCACAAGCGGAGGAACAUGUGGUUUAAUUCGAUGAUACGCGAGGAACCUUACCCGGGCUUAAAUUGCAGAUGAAUUACGGUGAAAGCCGUAAGCCGCAAGGCAUCUGUGAAGGUGCUGCAUGGUUGUCGUCAGCUCGUGCCGUGAGGUGUCGGCUUAAGUGCCAUAACGAGCGCAACCCUUGUUGUCAGUUACUAACAGGUUCCGCUGAGGACUCUGACAAGACUGCCAUCGUAAGAUGUGAGGAAGGUGGGGAUGACGUCAAAUCAGCACGGCCCUUACGUCCGGGGCUACACACGUGUUACAAUGGGGGGUACAGAGGGCCGCUACCACGCGAGUGGAUGCCAAUCCCCAAAACCUCUCUCAGUUCGGACUGGGGUCUGCAACCCGACUCCACGAAGCUGGAUUCGCUAGUAAUCGCGCAUCAGCCACGGCGCGGUGAAUACGUUCCCGGGCCUUGUACACACCGCCCGUCAAGCCAUGGGAGCCGGGGGUACCUGAAGUGCGUAACCGCGAGGAGCGCCCUAGGGUAAAACUGGUGACUGGGGCUAAGUAG
rnacentral:rRNA from 1 species